AAACUGUGGUGUGGGCAAUAUCUCAACAAGUCCUUGUACCUCUCUCACGCAUCAUACAUGCUCUCAUCAUCAAAUUGCACACACAAAAUUAUUGUUACGCAU
rfam:Ricinus communis cultivar Hale ctg_1100012355945, whole genome shotgun sequence.